UACAGAGGUGGCAAGCGUUGUUCGGAAUUACUGGGCGUAAAGGGCGCGUAGGCGGUCCCGUCAGUCCCUUGUGAAAUCCCCCGGCUCAACUGGGGAACUGCAAGGGAUACAGCGGGGCUUGAGUUCGGGAGAGGGAAGCGGAAUUCCGGGUGUAGCGGUGAAAUGCGUAGAUAUCCGGAGGAACACCGGUGGCGAAGGCGGCUUCCUGGACCGAUACUGACGCUGAGGCGCGAAAGCUAGGGGAGCAAACGGGAUUAGAUACCCCGGUAGUCCUAGCUGUAAACGAUGAGUGCUGGGUGUAGAGGGUAUUAACCCCUUCUGUGCCGAAGCUAACGCAUUAAGCACUCCGCCUGGGGAGUACGGUCGCAAGGCUGAA
rnacentral:rRNA from 1 species